rnacentral:lncRNA from 1 species
CAGCCUGGAGGCAAAAGAUGUGUGGGUAUUUAUUUAUUUAAAAUCAUAGAUUAUACAAGCAAUACUGAAUACAGCUUCAUCAUUAAAAAAUCCAAGCAGUUUAGAAACACAUGGAGUAGAAAGGUAAAGCCCCCUUUCUACCUCUCCCCCUAUGCUUAAGCUUACGCUACUAGUAGGCACUGUUAAUUAUUUGGGGGAAAUGUUCAGACUUUUUGCUGUGUAUUUACACAUAUGUAUGGCUGGCAUAAUAUUUGAGAAAUUAAUCUCUUUUUACCACCUGGAUUUUUCCCUUUUCCACUCUCACAUUCAUGAAGCUCAUUUCUCCCCGAGUCAGCUCCCCAGAUUAGAAAAUGGAAUCAACCUUCAGGUGUCUCUGGCUUUUGUGUGCCAAGAGCUUAUGCACUUAGGGAAACUUCAGGAUUUGUGGAACAGCUCAACACAGCAAAGAUCCUUGCACACAGCCUGAAUGCCUUGGCUGGAAACAAGGUGGAAGAAGGAUUUCCCCUGGAGUAGAAAGACCUCCACUCCAACUCUUUGCAGCCCUCCCCCCCCAAAACUGGCCAGGGGCUGGAGAGACGAGGGAGAAAGAUCUGUGGUCUCUGGAGUCCCACCCUGCCUGCUGGCAGCUCGUCUUACUCCUGGGCAGGCAGGAGUAAGAUCCCAGAGAGUGGUGGCCACAUGGUGGGGCCAAGCUGUGAGGACACAGGCAACCUGGCCCAACAUUUCUGGCUGCCCCCUGGCACAGAGCAGCAGAGGCUACUAGACCUGACCUUGGCCAACUUCACAGCCACCUCCUCUGUCCCAUGCUUGCAGUUCUCAGUGUUCUGGAGAACUCAGAUACACCUAGAAUUAAGUUUCCUGUUGCCAGGAUGGAAGCAUACCAUAAACAUUGAGUUGAGCUAUAGAAAAUAAAGUUUGGUCUCCUGAAUUUGUGAAUUAAGAUUUAUUCCUGUGGCUUGUACUGUUCAUUGUCUGCCACUUUUGAAAAAAAUUUCACAAUGUAUCUUCAAGAUGUUUCCACAGCAGUAUGUAUAGAUUUAUCGUAUUCUUUUUAAAAAUAAUAUUAUUUAAAAAAAUGCUCAUAGUAGGAAAUUCUGACAGUACCAAAGGAGAAAGCAGAAGUUCUCUAGUCCUCCAUUCCCAUACCCUAGGUGUAACUGUUGCUAACAGCUUCUUGAGGGUUUUUCUAGAAAUUUUCUAAGCAGAUAAAGACAUGUAUAUAUUUCUAUAUAGCUCUUUUUAUAUACAAAUAUUAUCAAACUACAUAUACUUAUCUGCACCUCAUUUGAUUCUUUAACAAUUUGACCUUAUCAUUGAAUAAAUUCUAUUUAAGUAGAUAUAGUUUGACUUCAUUUCUUUCAGUGAUACCUGGUAUUCCAUAGAAUGAAUGUGCUACAUAUAUUUAACCAGUUGAUUGGCAUAAGAUUCCAGAUUUUUAGCUAUUAUCAAUUAAGGGCACAAUGAACAUAAUAAUAGCUGGCGUUUGUUGACCACAGACAUCAUUCCUGGCAUAUAGUAAGUCGCAUAACCUUUGUAACAGCCCAGUGAGAUAGGCCCUGUUAUUGUCCCUGCUUCCCAGGUGAAGGAACUAAGUCACAAAGAGGUCAAUAACUUUCCCAGGGUCACAUAGUUGAGAGGUGGUAGGUCUGGGAUUUGAACCAGGCAGCUGGGUCCCAAGCCUGCACUCUGGAUGAGUACAGCACAACACCUGCAGGGAUGCCGUGUACCUGUGCUAACAUAGCCGUAGAGUACAUUUGUAGCAGUGCUGCUGCUGAGUCGGAAGAAGUGCUGAUAGACUUUAAUAGUGUGAAGUAGUCAGGAGGUUACUUUACUAAAACAGCACAAGUGCAGAGCCCACUUGUUUCCUAAAAAUAGAGGGGCUGCAGAUCCUGUGCCCAGAGGCCUCAUUGUAAGGGCGUUUUCUCUGCCGUGGCCAGGGCUUCGGCUCUGAAUCCUAUUUGGCCUUCUCUCCUCUGGGCUGGACUGGGCUCCCAGGAGUCUUGGUAAACCCUGCUCAUUCCCUCUUACUAAGGCCACAGCCACAGGCUGCCAGAGAAGUCAGCCCCUGGGCUCCUUUUGUUUCUGUACCCUCUUUGUCUCUCAGGGGAGAGGGUGCCUCCCAACUAGAUGGCUGCCUAGGCCCCAGUUUCCUAUUCCAUCUGCAAGAAGAGAAAUUGGCAGCCACCUAGAGAGAGAAUUGGCCACUCUUUGAUUCCCUGCCUGCAGCUCCUACGUCUAACCACAAGGGGCCCCAAUGUGGGAUCUCCAGGCCUGCACAGAGGUGGGAGGUCAGAGAGUGUGGCAUGGCUUCUCCACGGCAGUAGCUUUUGUAGGACUAUAUCAGCAGUUCUCAAAUGGGGGCAAUUUUGUACCCACCCCCACCAGCAGGGGACAUUUAGCAAUAUUUGGAGAUAUUUUUGGUUGUCACAACUUGGUGGAGGGUGGGGGCUGCUACUGGCAUCUAAUGGUAGAGAGAGGCCAGGAAUGCUGCUAAAUAUCCCACAGUGCACAGGAUAGCUGCUCACAACAAAGAGUUGUCAAGCUCAAAAUGUCAAUGGUGUUGAAGUUGAGAAACCCUGGGCUACAGAAGGGCAGACAGUGCCCAGCACGUGACUGUCACUGUGACUCCCUUUGCUCUCGUUAGCAGUGACAAACACUGAUGUCUUGCUCACCUAUAGCUCGCUGCUAUUCUAAGUGCUUUAUAUCCAUUAACUCGUUUAACCCUCACAACAAGUCUAUGAGGCAGCCCUACUGUUAUCAUCCCAUUUUACAGAUGAGGAGCUGAGGCAUGGAGAUGUGAAGUGCCUAGCCCAAGGUUCUCAUGGUGGCAGUCUAGGCUUGGCCUCCCUAUAGCUUCUCACACGUGCUCAUGCAAGUGCUCCUGGACUUGUCUGCUCUCUCUGAUCCUUCUAGAACCUUGGCAGCACCAGGGAUUGUUUAUUUCUGUACAAGGAGGAAAAAAAGUUGACUGAUCUUCUCUCCCUGAUUCUGACUCCUCCAUUUCUGAUGGCUUUUGUAUUUUCUUCUCCAGAGGGUUUAAUUGAAGUGAGUGCUAAUUGCAGAGACUAUGGACAACCAUGAAAAUUUACUUGUUGAAUUUGCAUGAAAAAAUCCUCUGUUACUCCUACAGUGUUCUCUUAGAGCUCUUUCAGUCUCUGGGCCUACAGGCUAGGCUGCUUGGGUAGUAGCUUUGCUUAGACAUGAGAGCAAACUUUAUCAUCCAGGAUCACAGGAGGAGCUGGGAGAUUAGCCCUGAGCUAACAUCUGCCACCAAUCCUCUUUUUGCUGAGUAAGAUUGGCCCUGAGCUAACAUCUGUGCCCAUCUUCCUCUAUUUUAUAUGUGGGAUGCCUGCCACAGCAUGGCUUGAUAAGCAGUGUGUACAUCCAUGCCCGGGAUCCGAACCAGUGAACCCCAGGCUGCUGAAGCGGAGUGCACAAACUUAACUGCUAUGCCACCCGGCCAGCCCCUCAAGGAUGUUGGUACAAAUUGCCCAAUUGUCUUCCAGAAAAGAUGUAUCAACUUAGACUCUCACCACCAGUCCUGUGAGAGUAUCUCUUUCACUACAUCCUUCCCAACACAAGGAUGAGCUUUGAAGUCAUUGUGCCAAGUCCUGCUUGUUCCUUUGGACUACACAGUGGGAGCUGGAAACAUGGGUGACCCCCGUAGGGGCUUUUGUAUUCAUAAGCACCAGGCUUACGAACGAAUACAAACACAGCAAGUCCCAGGAGCUGGUUUUGGUGGGGCUGGACUUCUCCAUGCAGAAUCACAUGGCCUCUUUAGGAAGAAGCCCCUCGCCGCCAUUGACCUCCACUUGGGGCAUCCUCCUGUCUCCAGUCCAAAGACAAUCCUGUGGACCUCAGAGCUCUUGUGUCUCUGCUGCUGCAGCACCCAUCCAUAUGUGCCCCACUGUGGCCGAGCCAGCCUGUACUGGGGUGUUCCUGUCCAUCUUGCAGGGGACCCUGCCUCCAGCCAGUGUCCUCUCCAAGCCUGUCUCCUCUAAGGAUUUCCUGUGGGUUAGCUCUGGGGAUCUUUUCUUAAUCUAUUCCUACGUGUGUUAUUACAGAAAGAAUUAUUCAUAAUUGCCAGCAUUGUGAUGGCUUCUUCCUAGUUUCUUUUGAGCCUGCAUGUUUUUCCCUACUUGACAUUUUCUAGGUUCUCUCCUACUUAAGUGACUUCUUCAGGAUCUUUUCUAUUGAGGAGUAAUGAACGAACAGUAAAGUCACAAAUCCUAAGCAUACAUUGCAGUGAAUUUUUACAUAUGUGUACACUAUGUAACCACCCCCCCAAUCAAGGUGUUUCUUUUAGAGUUGAGAAGUUCUUGGUGGGAGGUUGAGUGGAGAAGGAAAUCAUGAGUGUGUCCCCGAGCUACCGUCUUUUUCUAGAACUCUCUUUAAAGGGUGUUAAGGAGGGAGCUGAACGUCAAGUCUAUACAGUGGUGUGGAGAGCAGAAUGCUUAGGCGUGGCAGGUCAUGUUCUGGUCCUCCCCCUUACUAGCCGUGGGACUUCUGUGCCUCAGUUUCAACCACUGUAAAAUGGGAGUAGAUGAUAGCUCUUACCUCACAAGGUUAUCAUGAAGAUUACACGAGGCAGUACAUGUAAGUGCACAAAAAAUGUUAAUUGUUAUUUUUGUUGUUAUUAAUAAUGAGGAGGAGGCACUGGUUCUUAAUGAAGGAUAUGUAUCAGAAUCACCUGGGGCACUUUCGCAAAAUACACAUGCUCAACCUGGCCAGAUCUACUGAGUCAGAAUCUAGAUUUUAAAUGCCUCCCCAGGUUCAUUCUGUUGCUCAUCCGUGGUUGAGAACCACUGGGCUGGAGGUGGUCAUGACUGGAAGCAGGAAGGCCAACAGGUAGCCCCUGCGAUAGUGAGAGCCGGAGAGGAUCAGAGCUGAGCAGAUUUGAGGCAGAGUGGAGAGGUAGCCAAGAUGUGGCGACCUUGGGUGGAGGAGCGAGGAAGGAGGGGGAGGAGUCUGGGGUGACUCACAGGCUGCUGACUGGACAAUGGAGUGAGCAGGUGGAGGAUGAGCCAGAAGUGGGAAUACAGGAAGGGGGCGUGGGGUGGGGCAGUGGGCCAGAGAUUGUUAUAAUUCCCCUUGGGAUUGUUGAGUGGAGACUCCUGGUGGGAAUAGCAAGUUAGUAUUUGGAUCUCUAGGCCUGGGCUUCUGGUGUUUUUCAGGGAGUCAUCGAUGUCAAGGAGAUAGAUAAAGCCAUGGACCUGGUCACAGUGCAAACAUAGAGGGCAGAAGAGGGCUACAUUCACUAGUAUCCACCUCUGGGAAGGCCUGCGUCCACUUCCUGUUUCCUCCCUAGCAAUAGAGAAGCGCUUGUUUCUCGUGUAAUAACCCCUUUGCUGAGGACGUUGGGGAAUAAGCUCAGUCUUCUCACUUGAAGAUGACCAAUGACUAUGGGUCACUUCCUUUCCUUACAG